UGCCAGCAGCCGCGGUAAUACUGAAGGUGCAAGCGUUAAUCGGAAUCACUGGGCGUAAAGCGCUCGUAGGUGGCUUUGUAAGUCAGAUGUGAAAGCCCUGGGCUCAACCUGGGAAUGGCAUUCGAUACUGCAGAGCUAGAGUAUGGUAGAGGGAAGUGGAAUUUCCGGUGUAGCGGUGAAAUGCGUAGAUAUCGGAAGGAACACCGGUGGCGAAGGCGACUUCCUGGGCCAAUACUGACGCUGAGGCGCGAAAGCGUGGGGAGCGAACCGGAUUAGAUA
rnacentral:rRNA from 1 species